GAGGGUGUAGCUCAGUGGCAGAGUGCAUGGUUGGCAUGCACGAGGUCCUGGGUUCCAUCCCCAGCACCUCCA
rnacentral:tRNA from 1 species